rnacentral:lncRNA from 1 species
CCCCCCGGUGCUGUGGAUUUGCUGCCCGAAGACCGUUAGGAGCAGGCAGGAUGAAUGGGAUUGAAUGGGAUUGUAAUGCACAAGGCCCUCCUCCUUUCUCAAGGAGCUGGGAGGCCAGGAAAGCGAGUCGCGGGAGAGCAGGCGGCUUUCUUACACAUAGGAAGAGGCUUUGCAAAUCAGCAAAUUGCAUAUUUYGAGGGAAGAGGGGAGGGAGGGGAUUUAUUUAUUUUUUUAUUACAGAUCCGAGAAAAAAAAAUGCAGCAGCCAAGAAGACCAAAAGGAGACAGAGGGAGAAAAACAGGGAGAGGAGACUUGAUAGGAAAAUCUGAUUCCCAAACCUCUUUCCGCAGCUAGCCAAACACGGCCCACCAGCYGCUCUUUUCACAAAACGUUACGUGGAGGCAGUUUUCCCCUCGGCCCGGCAGAGCUCGCGGAAGGGAGACGCCGUCCACAGCACCAUUGUUUUGGCGGAGCGGGGCAGGGACGAGACCUCUCCUGCAGCGGUUGUCACCCAGCUGUCCRGGAACUGCUCACGCUGCUGCGGUGAGGGAGAGACUUUGGGCUGCAACAAGAACGUCUCCCAUCGAAACGACCGUCCCUGCCUCCCCCUCCUCAUCCCCUUCCUAAGAAGAAGUAAAACACCACGGUGCCAGGAAAUGCACACACGCAACCCARCCCUCGCCCGAAAGCCAGUCUGCGCCGAGAACGCGUAGUGCUGCCGGCCRUACAAGUUGCUCUAGAUGGAAAAUCAGGUCGUGCAGAAACCCACCGGCUUGCGCUUCCCGUCAUAAAAUCAGUGUGUGCGUGUGUGUGCGUGUGUACACACACUGCAUGUGCGCGUGUUUGGCGGGGGGAGGCAUAAAUAAUUAGGCAGCGACGGAGAAGCGCCUCGCUUACCGAAAAAUUAAACACACGCAAGGCUUCAAAGUAAGAUCUCCCCUAGCCGGACAUCGUCUGAUGGUCCUUAAAUACAUUUUCUCUCCCCAGAGAUGAAAUCCUGUGACUCUAGGUAAAUAAAUAAAUAAAUGACGGCGCUCA